rnacentral:rRNA from 1 species
ACCGCCCGUCGCUUCAUCGAAGUUGGUUUUAGGCGAGGUGGUGCGAUAUUGGCAUUAUCGAACCUGAGAUCAGCCAACGAGGGAG